GCCUGAUUUUGUCUCUGUAUUCCGCGCUUGCGUCUCGUCACCACACCGACGACGACCUGCUGCUGCCACUCCACCGUUGCGAUAGACACUGCAAAGAGAGAUGACGUAGCAAUGAUAGAUUCCAAAAUUUUUAUUUGUACCCAAAAUCCCAAAAAUUCUUCCCAGCUGUCUUCCUGAUCAAAAAUCCUCCUGAAUAAAUCACACUUUGACUCCUCAAACCCAAAAGCACUAAAUGAAGAAGAGAAAAAGGAGGAAGGAAGGUUAAAUUCAAGGUCAGAAGAACGGGCAGAAAACUUUAGCAAAAAUUCUAAGCUCCACGAAGGAAAUAUGAAAAUUUAAUCAUUAACUCAUCCAAUUAAUAGUUGGAAAUGUACUGCCCAAAACAAGCUCGUUUAAACACUCAUGAGCAACUAAAAAAGUUCCACAAUCAAAACAACAAGCACAACCGAGCGAUUUUAUGUUACACGACGAAGAUUUUAUGUUGUCCAUGAGACGACACUCAUCAACAAUUGCGUUGUCUUCUUUUGCCACUCUUAUCACGCAACAUUCACCUGAUAUUGAACACCUCUUUGGAAUCCAAUAAAUUAAUUCAUUUUUUCCUCAAAAUUCUUGUCUUUUCUGCUUGAUAUCUUGAGCAACAAAUUGGCAAUUUUUAUGUUUGUGUUUUCAAAAUAAAUCCAUUAAAAAAUCAUAAGGAAA